CAGUUGCAGCAUCUGCGGCCCGACGAAGUGGACAUGCGUAUCCACCGCGCCGGCCGUGGCGAUCAGGCCAUUGCCCGACAUGAUCUCGGUCGAGGGGCCGAUGACGAGGGCGGGGUCGAUGCCGUCCAUCGUGUCGGGGUUGCCGGACUUGCCGAUGCCGACGAUGCGCCCGUCGCGCACGCCGAUAUCGGCCUUGAUGACGCCCCAGUGGUCGAGGAUCACGGCGCCGGUGAUGACGAGGUCGGGCGUGCCCUCGGCGCGCGUCGCGGCGGACUGGCCCAUCGAUUCGCGG
rnacentral:sRNA from 1 species